rnacentral:rRNA from 1 species
CACGUAGGGUGCAAGCGUUGUCCGGAAUCAUUGGGCGUAAAGAGCUCGUAGGCGGCUUAGUAAGUCGGGUGUGAAAACCCCAGGCUCAACCUGGGGACGCCACCCGAUACUGCUAUAGCUAGAGUCCAGUAGGGGAGUGUGGAAUUCCCAGUGUAGCGGUGAAAUGCGCAGAUAUUGGGAGGAACACCAGCGGCGAAGGCGGCACUCUGGGCCGUAACUGACGCUGAGGAGCGAAAGCGUGGGGAGCGAACAGG